rnacentral:piRNA from 1 species
UGACCUGUUGGUUCUGGAUGUCUGCA